rnacentral:rRNA from 1 species
GACGAACGCUGGCGGCGUGCUUAACACAUGCAAGUCGAACGGAAAGGCCCUGCUUUUGUGGGGUGCUCGAGUGGCGAACGGGUGAGUAACACGUGAGUAACCUGCCCUUGACUUUGGGAUAACUUCAGGAAACUGGGGCUAAUACCGGAUAGGAGCUCCUGCUGCAUGGUGGGGGUUGGAAAGUUUCGGCGGUUGGGGAUGGACUCGUGGCUUAUCAGCUAGUGGGUGGGGUAAUGGCUUACCAAGGCGUUGACGGGUAGCUGGCCUGAGAGGGUGACCGGCCACACUGGGACUGAGAAACGGCCCAGACUCCUACGGGAGGCAGCAGUGGGGAAUUUUGGACAAUGGGGGCAACCCUGAUCCAGCCAUCCCGCGUGUGCGAUGAAGGCCUUCGGGUUGGAAAGCACUUUUGGCAGGAAAGAAACGUCGCGGGCUAAUACCCCGUGGAACUGACGGUACCUGCAGAAUAAGCACCGGCUAACUACGUG